rnacentral:lncRNA from 1 species
GUACCAGUUGGUUGAAAUUGUUGACAAUUUCAUGAACACCAUCGCCAACAAGAACUUCCCGCCUCAAGCCCGACCCCUUUAUUACAACCAGUCAGGCCCCCUAAUGCCUUUGCUCUGUAACCCCUUCAAUGCUGAUCUCUCUGACCACCUGUGCAAGCCCGGUGAGGUCCAUCUCAGCAAUGCAACUGAGGUAAAUUAAAUACUAAUUUAAAACAGAACAUAUCUUUGUAUAUUUUGUUUUGUUUCAUAAUGUUUCUUAUGGUAUGUUUUUUUUAUGCAGGUGUGGAAGAACUACACUUGCGAAUAUAUAACACCGGGAAUAUGUAGCACGCCCGGACGUCUGACCCCAAACCAUUACACCCAGAUGGCUGCAGCAGUUAACGUAAGCUAUGGUCUGUACAAGUAUGGUCCAUUCCUGGCAGAUCUGCGAGGGUGUAACUUCGUAAGGUCCACAUUCACUGAUAUAGAGAGGGAUCAUUGCCCGGGACUGAGGAGAUACACGCAGUGGAUCUACGUGGGUCUUGUGCUGGUGUCUACUGCUGUAAUGCUGUCUUUGGUGUUUUGGGUUGUAUACGCGCGGGAGAGGAGGCACCGUGUUUACACCAAAGACUACAAUGCUAUGCAUUCUGAAGCUCCACGGGACAAGGGUCCGCAGUGAGAUGUUCUGUACUUUUUGCCAGUUUUAUGUAAAUUAUGUGUUUGAGAUGUCUGGUGAGAUCUUUUGUGUAGUGAAUAAUGGAAGGAAACUGUGGUUGUGUGGUUGUUGUCACUAAUGUUCUUUAUAAUUGAUAUGUUGAGAACUACUUCGAAAUUGGAGAUGUACUGUUUUGUGGAAGUACAACCCAUCUUUGUGUUUCUUGUCGGAGAGGACAAAUCUUCAAUUCUUUAUUACUAGUAUUGCUUACCAAAAGCAUUUCUUUAUGAGCUGAUACUAGUUUCGAUAGCUGUAAUGUCUUUGAUCACUUGAAGAUGGGGGACUGAACCUAGAGGCUACUAGUACUCAUAGCACUUUGAAUGGUCGAUAAUUUCUUCACCUAAAGUUAAUGAAGAGCCUUAUGUUGUGCGUUACAACUACUUACGAGUGUAACCUCGUUUGUUGGUGUUGAAUGGGUUCACGUAAGAGAAAAGAGUAAUAUUCCUAGUGAUUGAAGGAGGCUGUUCAAAAAAAAAAAACAAAGAGAUAAAAAGUGCUCAAAUAGACUUGUUUUACAAAAUAUAACAUGACUGACUUGAAAACUCUAAACCUAACAGGUGUAUGAAAACCAAAACCAACUCCUAAUGGAUCUAAACUUACUCUUAAUGGGUUUAGUGAGAAAUUCUAAAACUUUAAAUCUUGUUUAAUCGGAGUUUAAACCAAGUGGCCCGCCCUCUAUCCUUCACAUGGGUCAGCUCAUCUUUUUCUUGGACAAACUUGAUUAAAAGUCCAAAGACUUCUUUCAAGGCUGUAGUCUUUGAUCUUGUCAUCUGUCCAAUAUAACAGACAAGUGGAUCAUGUGCUUGGUUGUCCAUCCCAUCUUGUGCCGCAGAAGUCUUAUCUUGGCUAACCACUUCUUGGGUUCGAUCCAGCUGAUAGUUAUCUAGACCGUUUUGCUGCUUAGUUCACUUUGUCGAGCAAAAUGCUCUUAUUGAUAAAUUUCCAUGUCCAGGUCUUCAUCUCCAUUUUUUGGGUCUAUGUCCGACCAUAUCGCAUCACCCGACCAUAGGUCAUAUUCCAUUUCGCGAUCGUCUGUCCUGUUCAUCUCUCGACCGUCCGUCCUUCUCAUGUCCAUUUCGUGACCACAUUUCCUUGUUCGAUCCAUUUCGUGCUGGUCCAGUCCUCAGCUGUCGGUUCAUCCAAGUAAAGCUCAUGUCGCCCAUCUCAGUCAACAUAUACCUUUGGUUCCAAUGAUGACCGCAUCAGAAAGUGCAACGUUAGCUUGAUAUAUUUGUUCAUGAUAUCCACGGAGUCUCCAAGUGAUUUCUUUUCAACAAUUGUAUUCUUAACGUAUUUUAACUCAAACCAACAAAUCCAAAAUUUAUUAGAAUUUAUAUAUCAAAUGAAAUGAUAUAAUUAAAAUGAAUUGAUAUAAAUAAAAUGAUUUUUAUAAAAAUGUUAUCCUAACUUUAUUAAAAUUUAAAUUAAAUUAAACAGAAAUAAUUAAACUAAUAUAAAAAACAAGACUACAAAAAUAUAUUUAUAGUUUUUUUUUCAAACCAAUGAAGUUAAAGCAUAGAAAUACUAGUGUCAAAAUCUAAAUUAAAAUUUUAAAAAUAAAUAAUAUAUUAUAUUUAUAGUUGUUAUUUGUGGACAUGGCUCAUAAAAACUCUUAUAAAGGCUGGCUUAAUCUACAGACUACAGAUGAAAAAAAACUCCUUUAAAUACAAAAACCCUACAGGGACGAAAAUUUAGGGUACUUGACCGGAUCUAAGCUAUUCAGGUUUUCCACACUCCCUUUUUUAUCUCUCUUUAUCUGUCUCCUCCUCCCCUGUAGACUUUGGCUUUCUGUCUCCUCAUCUCUUACUGUGAGUCCUUUUCGAGUAGAUAUGGAAGUGGCUGCCCUCAGGUCGAUGGAGACGCAGAGACAAUGGACUUGUUCUGCCACUGAGACGCUUCUCUUCCUCGUUGGAAGGAAUCUGGCUUGUCUGCUUCUCGCGGUAUACAACUGUUUCCUUAAUUUUAAUUUAUAACUCUUGUUUCACUUUGUGUUCUGUUGGAUUUGUCAUUUAUUCAAAAACCGUCCAUCCUGGAGUUGUCUCUGUGUUCCUGAAUCCAAGGCUUAUUAGAUUUUCUUAGAUUUUCUGCUUUAGGGAUACGAUUUGGGAUGGAUUUUGUUGUUUGAAUUUAGACAAGCACUUUAGCUUCUGUUAUGUCUUAAUUGGUUCGAGACGGGUCUUUGUACAAUUGAAGUUGAAUGCAGAGUUUAACAAUGUCAAAUGUACACUCUGUUAACUUGUCACGUUUACUUUUUGUCUAUUUGCAAUUGCUAUUUAUAUUGAUAUUUAUAUAAGGAUGUGCUCUUCUUGGAUUUUGUAUGAUAUAGUAAACACACAAAGACGAGUCUGCCUUUGAAAAUGUUUAAACCCUUACAGAUUGACUUUAGGUUUAUUUUGUGUACCUUUUAAGCUUCCUUUUGUGAUUUCAAUGUUUGUUUGUUAUGUGCUAUAUUGACAUUUGCCAUUUUUCAUGAUCCUUUUUAACUUGUGUUCUCGCUGAACUUUGCAUUAAUACACUAUGGAUAGUUCAGUAUUGUAUAAAAUUUCAUAAAACCUUGUCUAACAUUCAUCUUUUUGUUCUGUGAUAUCGCAGGCAGAAUCUUUGCUGAUAGGGUUGAUUGCUGAAGAUCAGAGGUGAGCAUAAGGGCCACACUUUUCAUUUUUCCCCUUCUUUUAGAUUGUAGCAGAUUUGAAUUUGACUUGUCUCUAGGCUUUCUGUGAAGGAGGGCUACAAAAAAGGACACCGAGAUGAGGAAAAUAAAGAUGCCAGUGACUCUGAUGAUGAUGACGAUGAUGAUGAGGACAACGCUGAUGAAGACGAUGAUGAUGAUGAUGAUGAUGCUAAUGAUGAAGAUUUUUCAGGGGGUGAAGGAGAGGAAGCUGAUCCGGAGGAUGACCCGGUGACCAAUGGUGGGGGAGGAAGCGAUGAUAAUGAUGAUGAUGACGAUGACGGGGAUGAGAGUGGUGAUGAUGAUGGAGAUGAGGAUGAGGAGGACGAAGAUGAGGAUGAUGAGGAAGAUGACGAAGAUGUUCGCCAGCCGCCUGCUAAGAAGAGAAAAUGAAACAUGAGAAAGAGGGGAUUGUUCAAGACUUGAAGAGGACCAUAUGUGUUGGUUUAAGUAGUGUAGGGGAAACUUAUGCUUCAUGUUGUGUACUAUUUGUUGUCGUGUGUGACUUGUCUACUUGGAUUUUAGUUAUCUUGGCUGUUGUAGAAUGUUGUUCUCUUCUUUUUGUUUUUGCAUCUGCCUAUGAAUAUGAUUCGCCGUGCUUCACAUUUUCUUUGUUGUUGCAAUUUUUCUUUCCAUUGUUUCAAAUGUUUAAAAGGAAACUCCACCAACACUAUACUAUGUUUCAUGUAUCCCAUCACGUUCUCACAUUACUUGGACCAUAGGAACUCUCUUCAUUCUAAUCAGUUCGUUUGGAUUGCUUGUCACUUGUAUGGGUUUUCUUGAGUUGACAAACCAGACAACAAGUAUUCACGUGGUUGUGGUUGCGAGACAACUAACUUUGGGUUCUUCAACAAUAUCCUAGUCUAGGAUUUAGUUCUACCAUACCGCCGGACCAUUUAGAUCAUGUCGGUUUAGGAUCGAUCUUGCCUUUUUCGAUGAGCCGGAUCGAUUUCGGUUUAGUUGAACAAAGUGUGUUCGGACUCUGAUACCAUGUUAGGAGAAGAUGGUUUUCAGAUAUCUCAAUUGAGUUUACACGAUACAAUAUAUACAGAGAGGUAGGAGACACUAGGUUAACAUAAUUACAAAUGUUCCAUAUUUGGAAGAGAAGAAUAUUGCAGCCUUUUGAAGAAGCUAACCCAGCAUUGGUGUCACACUUGUGAGUUUAACAAUCAGGAAAAGUCUCAUUGAAGUCUAUUUCCCCCUUGUUAGGUGAACCCAUUUGCUACUAGGCCAAAUUAUACAUUUGUACCAUCAUAAUUGGACUUAAUAGUUAAAUCCAUUUAGACCCAAUAACAUUUUUUUCAUAACCUUUUCUUGUUCAGCACACUAAAAAUAAAUGUAAAUGUGAUAGAUAUUACAAAUGAUUGAUUAAAGAAUGACAAUGCAUAUACAAAUGUUACAAAAGCUGAUCAAAGAAUGACAGUGCACUAGACAAUAUACAAGCAUAACGAUUCAUGAAAUAAGAGGAAUAUGAAGGCUAAAGUAGAAGUAGUCAGUAGGAAUAAUCAUUAUAAAGUUGAAUACGUUUUUGCUGCUGUUGAGAUAGAUGAUGUAUAUCCUUAACAAUGUCGAACACUGCCUCAGGCUGCGCCAACUUAAGAGCAUUCUCUGACAUUUUAUAUAAUUCGUUUUUCUUGCUGCUGAACCAAUAAUGACCUUCAAUUAAUGACGAGACAACAAAAGUUUCUGCAGAAAAAGUCUACAGUAACAACUUUAUAGUUACAACCGAUUUAUUUACAGCUAAACAUCUACAGUUAAAUUUUUAAAGCUACGGUCGAACCGAUCAUCACCAAUAAUUUAUAAAUUGAUUAACUAGUAAACAGCUUUAUAAAAUAUUGAAAAUGCUUUAUUAACCGAGACAAAGCAAACGUGAGACAACCAUGAAUAUAAUUAAUAGAAAAAAACUAAAAUAAUUAAAAAUUAAAAGUUACCGUAGAAUAACUAACCUAAAUCUAAAAAUACUAGUUCAACUUUUAAUACAUAAAAUUUUGUUUGAUGUUGAAUUAAUACUUUAGUUUAGCAAUUUUUAAAAAUGGAUAGCUUAAAAUUAACUUAUAUAUAAUACAUUGUAAUUCAAACAUAAGUUAAAAAUAAUUAUUUUGAAUUAUAUCUCUAAAGCAAACUUAAACAAUAAUAAUUCAUAUCACCAGUCAAAGCCUAUAUUAAAAAAAUAGAAAUAAUCAUAAAAAGAAAGAGGCAGCGCAUCAUUCCAACAGAAUUAAAAACUACAUUGGAAAUAAAUAAAAAGAAAGAAAUCAGGGAAAUGUGAUUCGAGGAAGAGAAGAAAACCGCGUCAAGCGGGAUAUCAAAUCAAUCGUGUUGUUAACACGUCUGCCAUUGAUUCUCUAUCACGAUUCGAUUAAAACAUAAAAACACUGAAACGAGAGAAUAUACAAAAAAAAUAAAAACAAUCUCGAAAAACACAAAGACAGAAUGUUGUGUUCCAGAUCUAAAACAGUGUUCGUACUUUUCUCAUUCCUUCUUGUCGCCACUGGAAUAUCUAUUGCUGGUAAGAAAGAAAGAAAGAAAGAAAGAAAAAAUAAUUCAACAUUCUUGUAUUUUGAUUUUGUCUCUGUUGAUAUGUUUUUACUUCUAAUUUUGGGUUUGGAUGGUUUCAGAAAAGGAAGCAGCAAGUGUUGAAGAAGAAUGGGGGACAAGUGUGAAAGAAAGGUUUAUGGCAGAGGAAAAAGGAGAGAACUCGUCUCUGAUUUUGGCUGCAAACAGAACAAAGAGGAAAGACCCUACUGAGAAUUUCAACAUUUACACUGGUGGAUGGAACAUAAGCAAUACCCAUUAUUGGACUGUGAGUCCUUUCUUUUAUUUUCUGUGGUCCUAAGUUUUCUCUGUUGCUAGUGGAGUUUGUUUGCUUAAUCAAACGGGAUUAGCAUUCAUUAGUUCUCUCUCUUUUUGAAGCUUUUUUGACUUUUUUUUUUCUCAUUCUUUGCUUUGUGUGUGCAUGCAGUCUGUUGCUUAUACAGCGACGCCUUUCUUUGUGAUAGCAGGAGUCUGGUUUGUGGUCUUCGGGCUAUCCUUGUCUCUCAUUUGCCUUUGCUAUUGCUGCUGUGCCCGUCAGCCUUACGGCUAUUCCAGGGUUGCUUAUGCUCUCUCCCUUAUCCUCCUCAUAUUAUUCACAAUCGCUGCAAUGUAAAUUGUCUUUUCUCUGGCUCUUUUUUUUGUCAUUCUUUUUUUUAAUUAAAAUAAGCUUUUUGUGUUUGAUAUUUUCCAGUGUGGGAUGUGUUUUCCUUUACACGGGCCAAGGGAAAUUUCAUGCUAGCACAACAGAUACUUUGGACUAUGUGGUGAGGCAGGCAAAUUUCACGGCGGAAAACCUCAGGAAUGUGUCGGAUUAUCUCAAUGCAGCUAAGAAGGUGGAUGUGCAAUCCAUCGUUCUUCCAGGGGAUGUUUUAUCGAGCAUCGACAACAUACAAGGAAAGAUCAACUCCUCUGCAACUACUCUUUCUGUUCAAACAAUGGAGAACCAAGACAGGAUUCAAGAUGUCUUGGACAACAUGUAAAAAAAUACACAAUACCAUAGUGUUAUCCUUUUUAUUUUCUUCACCUUUUUUUGCUUAUGAUUUGUUGCAGGAGACUUGCGCUCAUCAUCAUCGCUGCUGUGAUGCUUUUUCUAGCGUUCAUUGGAUUCUGUAAGUCUAGGGAUUAUUAUUAUUGAUUACAUCUCGCAGCAGCACUUUAACUUGUUGAUUAUUUUUAUUGUUGUUACAGUACUCUCUAUCUUUGGACUGCAGUGCCUUGUAUACACGUAAGUGAAGUCUCAUUCUCAUUUUCCACGUGUUACCGUUUUAUGCUGAUAAAAAAUUACUUUGUGAUUUAACAAUGGACAGGUUAGUGAUCCUUGGUUGGAUUCUUGUCACCGGCACUUUCGUCUUAUGUGGUCUAUUUCUCCUUCUACACAAGUGAGUUUUUUGUUCAAUUUGUCUUACUCAAUGCAUUAAAAAAGGUUUCUCAAUAAAAGCAUUUCUUAUGCCUUUGUCAGCGUUGUUGGGGAUACGUGUGUGGCCAUGGACCAAUGGGUGCAACACCCGAAAGCUCACACCGCUCUAGACGAUAUUCUACCGUGCGUUGAUAACGCAACCGCGACCGAAACAUUGAGUCAGACAAAGCUUGUGACGUACCAGUUGGUUGAAAUUGUUGACAAUUUCAUGAACACCAUCGCCAACAAGAACUUCCCGCCUCAAGCCCGACCCCUUUAUUACAACCAGUCAGGCCCCCUAAUGCCUUUGCUCUGUAACCCCUUCAAUGCUGAUCUCUCUGACCACCUGUGCAAGCCCGGUGAGGUCCAUCUCAGCAAUGCAACUGAGGUAAAUUAAAUACUAAUUUAAAACAGAACAUAUCUUUGUAUAUUUUGUUUUGUUUCAUAAUGUUUCUUAUGGUAUGUUUUUUU